UCUGUGUUGUGUGUGUAUGUUGUGUGUGGUGUGUUGCAGUUGUCCUCACAGCCAGGUGGCGCUGCGUCCCGGGAGCAGUGAGGAGGACGUGGUGUGUGGAGGGGGGGCGCGUUCACACUUCAUCCUCAGUAUUCCGUUCGUGGGCGUCGCUCUCAUCCUCAUCCCCGUCCUGUACAAGCUCAAAGGAAGAGCCGACCCCAAACGUCAAAAUCAGAACCCUCAACCUUUAGCUGACUGCGUCUAACUGCGUCUAACUGCGUCUAACUGCUGUCUAACUCUGACUGAUCCUGGCGGCAAAGUCCCGGUGUGAUUCACUAACUUUGUACAGAUUCUUAAACCGUUACCGUUGCAACACAAGAACAAAGGAAACUGACCUCAGCCUGAAGAUUUUGUUACAGAAACAUUAUUAUUAUUGUAAUUAUUCUUGAAGUUUCUAUGGACACUUUGACCCUGCGUGAGCAGAUCCGGCGUCACGUCGGCCUCGGCGUCGCCCGGAGCUUUUCAAAUCCGCUUUACUUUAUUUGACUGAACAGUGUCAUUGCGUCUGUGGGAGUUUAACGGCAGCUAUAAUAAAACUAACACUUUGUACGUACAGUAGUUGUAGUCUUAGUAGGUAAAGGUGCACUGUGGAACUUUUCUGCUGCAGGGUCCAGCACCUGCGUCUCCACAGAGAUGUUCUUGCUUUGUCUGGAAUUUACUUCAUAACGUGGAUUCUUCCGUCGCCUCUUCACCGUCGAGUAUUUGGACACAGUGUUCCAAACAGGAAGUGAUCACGGCCGCGUUUUCGGCUCCAUUUGACUUCACAUUGAAAAACUCUCCGUCCUCCCUCCUUCUCUCUGUAACUGCUGCUACGAGCGUCGGCGUUUUGGGCUUUAAAUGUUCGUAAAGGGGCGUUACCUUCAACAGUCUGGCUCCUGAUUGGCUCUGCGGUUGCUAUGACCUGUCGUGUUGAACCGUAUCCCGUCGUAGUUCGCCGUGAUCGUGUGGCGGUCGGUACUCGUCGUUGUGGCCGCAGUAACCCCGGUUCAAAUCCGGGUCACAGCAUCGCGGAACAAUGUCAGCAGACGGGUUCACUUUUAGACGGCGCGGUGUCUGGGUGAGUUUCCUCCGGGAGCUUCAGUUUCCACAUCAACCCAAAACAUGCCUCAGAGGUAAAACUCCUCCAGCCAAAGCCCAGUUUAUGGUCGUGCAUCAAAUCGUCUGCGUCGAUCGACAUGCACCUUAAAAAUUUUGUAACUACACAUUGAAGAGCUGUGAUUACAUCGUCUCUACACACAUUAUUUCCGUUACUCCGCUUUCCCGCUUCAUUUUGUUUACACAAACUCUAUUUUUAAAUCGUGGCCUCCUCACGUUUUGGCGGUAAAUUACUUGGCGGCGCAUAAACCUCGACGCAGAUCCAUGAAUCAAAAACGACGGCGAAAAGGCGACGGCGGCAGAGCGCGACGAGUCCACGCAGAAAUAUAAUUCAGCUUUAAGACAGACCUGACCGAGCCUGGAAACAAGAUCACGAGAUUGGUCCCUACACAAGGAUAAUAAAAAGAACCACAAAAUAAAUAAAAAUACUCACAGCUGGAAUCUCAAAUCUGAAAGUGGCUCUAGGUUAGCGCUGUAACUGCUGGCCUCCAUGAGCUUCAUUUGGAGCCGAACGCUUACAGAACACUUCUUUAUACAGUCUGUGAUCUGGCACCAGGUGUUUGUCGUCAAUGCCGUAUUGUGGAACUUUCCAGACACAGCAGUUCAAUCUCCAUGGAGACAAAGUGUUUUUCACACAUGGAGUUCCUCAAGGCUCGGUACUCGGCCCCUAAUGUUUGUUCAUUCAUCUUGAAGUAGGAUUCUGAAAGACCCGGUGCACCUUCACCCUCACACUCACCUCACAUUCCACACGGAUAUUUCACAUCGAUGACUCUGUGCGUCGUUUAAAUAAUCUGUGUUUUUAUUUUUGUUGAGUUGUUGGAGCUGUUCUGUCUGUGUCCUGCGCUCGUUUAAACCAGGUUCUGUGAUCAAACCUGAGCCUGUGUCUCCAGACCCUCACCUGAUCCACAAUUAAAUAAAUUAAAUUCAUAUUUAUGCCGUUACAAUUAAAUGUGAGUCUAAUUGUUCUCAGUAAAAGCUCGACUUUACAUGAACAUGUUUCGCUCGGCUCUGGGGACACAGGACACAGGUCACUAGGCUGGUCCAUCAUGGGAGAAAAUAAAGUUUCAGAUCACCUCGAUUAGAACCUGCAUCAGGUUUUAUCUCCAAAAGAUGAUUUAAGAAGAAAUUUGGAAGAAAACGGAGAUGAUUUCGAUCAGACAUGUCAAACUCAAACUCACAGAGACCAAAAUUAAAAACUGGGACUAAGUUGUGGGACAAACUAAAUAUUUAUUUAAAAAAAUUCAACAACAUCUGCAGGUUUUCUCUUCUUUGGAGAUCUGUGAUGUUAAACCUUUUCUUAUUAAACUAAUUGUUACAUUAUUUUCAUUACAUUAACAUUACAGAUCUGGAACAAUAGAAAACAAUAAAUAUUUAGUUUGUCCCACGACUUAGUCCCAGUUUUUAAUUUUGUCCUCUGUGAGUUGAGUUGGACUCUCCUGGUUUAAUCCACAGAGACAUUUUCAAGUGUUUUGAACAAACUCUAAAUAUUAAUUAAUUUGCAUAAAAUUUGGACCCAAAUAUUUUGUCCACAUAUGGAACCAAAUGCAGAUUCUGAUCUAGAGAAUCUAAAAAAAAUGUUUGGACCAGCCUAACAGGUCACUCGUGUUCAUAGAAUUUAAAAUCAAAGACUUUAAUUUUAUUUGUUUUUUCAUGAUCAUGUUUUAUUUUCUUUGUUCUGUUGGAAUUCAAGUCCAUUAACAGUGACCGAGUUGAGCUGAAACUGACUUUUGUAAGAAACACCUGAGUAAAGUUUCACAUCUUGAAUCUUGAAUCUCUAACGUUUCUGUGCUGACUCUUUUUAUGUGCAUUAUAUUUAUUUUUAAUGUAGUUGUUUUCUUGUUUUGAUUCAUCGCUGAAGGAUUCUGAAUUAGACGUUUUGUGUCGCUUGUGUCAGCUGAACUUAGUCUGAAAUG